GUAACUAAUAAGCACCUCUCACUUCGGACGUGAAGGCAGAUGGAACCCGCCCCCCCCAACCCCCGCCGCUCCCUUCCUGGCACAGCCCCUUGGAUCUGCCUGGCACUGUGCUCAGCCAAGCCCAGCUCGGCCACUCCCCCGAGCUCUGCAGGUCAAGCCUUCCUGUCUUUGCACACGCUGCUUUCUCUUCAGAACCCUGAUGUCACCUCCUCCACCUGCAGGCCCUUCCUCUUCCUUGGCGGUGGUCCCUGCCAGGCACGCUGUCCUGCAGUUAUUUCCUUCCAGUUCCUCGUCCCUGUUAACAGUGAAUACCUUUCUACUCAUCAGUAUGCCCAGGACUGAGCACAGAGCCCCCAGGUGAUGGUGAACUAGGAACUCAAACAAGAGGGUUCCAGAGAGUGGCUAAGAGACAAAGAGGCCUGGAUUCACCAUUAUCGCCACAGAACUACCUGGACUGAUAACCCAGCUCCACAGAGAUCCCCACCAUGCACUGAGAGGAGGGGUGGGCUGGCAGCUCCGCCUGGGCCUGGCGCCCCUCCAUGGGAGUUCUGGGGCACACCAGCGUCCUGAGCCACCCCUGUCUUAGCCUAUGCCACAAGGGCACCUCCUUUAAGAAACAGGCUGGUGAAGACCAGGACCUGGGCGGCUUGGCCAAGUGGGGGCUCCAGUGGUCCCCAACAGGCCAGGGCUGCAGUCUCCACGCAGAGCCUGUGUGCAGAGCACGUCACAGCCUCUGUCAUCACGUUUGAUCUCGGUUGGCCAGAGUUGUCACAGACAUGAAGAGAACCACAUCAACUUACGUAGCUCAAGGUAAGGCCUGUGGACAAGCCCAGCCUGGAGAGCGGCCUUGGGAAGGCCAAGGCGACGGGGAGACCUCAGGUGAGCAAGAGCUGGUGCUGUGCUGAGGGCAAGGAAGGUGUGGGACCGGACACAGGAAAGGCAAACGUGUCCUUCUCUGCUGUGGCCCCCGACCCCAUUUCUGCUCUCCCAAGGCAGCCACCACGCAGAGUUCCUGUGUGCUCUUCCAGAAGUGUCUGCACACACACACACACACACACACACACACACACGCACAGGUCAUACUAAAAUACCACACACACGUCUACACAACUAGAAGCAUGCAUUAUAUAAACACACAUGUAGACAUGAAUUAUAAGACAGUACCUAUGAAAUCCGUGACAGCCUACCUAUGUGUGUGUAUACACAUGCCACAUCCUGUAUAAACUUAGUCCGCGUGUGCUGCGUGUAUGGGGAUGGAUACACGAGGCAGCUGUCCUUUGUCAUCCAAGAAGGAAUGGUGGUGGGGCUGCCUGAAGGUGCAAAGUCGGCCGAUGCUCAAGUCCCUUAUAUAAAAUGGUUCCGUAUUUGCAUCCCAUAUACUCCAGAGGGUCUCUAGGUCACUCUAAUGCCUGAUGCUUGUAAAAGGCUGUCACAUCAUACUGUGUAAGGAACGAUAUCAGAGGAAGAUGUCUGUACAUGUUCAGCCAGAUGCAGAUUUCUUUCCAAACAUUUUUGGUCCCUGGUUUUAGUUCACAGUCACAGUGCCUACAGAUACGGCGGGCCAACUGUGGGUAAGACCAACCAUGCACCAAGCCCUGUGCUUAACCAGGCCUUAGGGGAGGGGUUGGUGGCUGAGGGUGGUGACUGAAGGGAACAGCUGGUUCUGCAGUGAAUUUCAGGGCUCAGGAGCCAGGGUUUUGCUGGUGAAGAAGAGGGCUGGCUGCUUUCAUGGGCAGGACCCCUGGUGGCUUGGUCCUUGCUGCCAGCUUGGUGGUGGCUCUCCCUGUGCAGCCACUCUCAGGAGCUGCUCUGCGAUGGCAGCAAGGCUGGUGACUCUGGCCUCAACGCUGACCAGCUGGAGCCUGUUGCGCAGGGUGCCGCAGGGAGCCUGUCUCCCUGCCUGGGACUGGAGGCCCCAGAGUUGGUGGCACAUGCUGUGCAGACCUGAAGCUUGUGACCAGCACCUAACCCACUGUCUCCCCUGCAGAGUCCGCAGCACCCACGUGGCAGAUGGCCCAGUGGCUGCCCCUCUCCCUCGACACGGUGCCAUGUGGAAGUGCACCUUGCUCUUCAGUAUCUGUUUCCUCUUCGACGCUCAAGCCAGGGUUACGCUGGGCCUCACCCUCUGCCUGGGACAGCGUUCUUUAAUGAGUUCGUUGCUGGAGGUGAACCCAGGAAGUCGGGACUGGAACCUCUCAGCAGGAGAGCCUGGGUUCCGAGUUGGAGAUGCCAGAGUCUCGGCAGGACUGAACUCUUCCCGGCCUUGGCCCUCAGCUGUGCCUGGGGAAGGGGAGCUGAGCAGACACACUGGCUGCCCCUGACCCCUGAAGUCCCAGGGGAAAGGAGCUAUGCCUGUCCUAUGUGUCUCCAGAGAGCACAAGGUACAGGACUUGGGCCCCACCGCAGGAGGGACUUCCUGACAUGAAGUAGAGCAGGCCACUCGGCAAGUGAUGCGCCCAGCGUCCUGAAUGGAGGCAGGUGCUGGGUAGUCUCCAGGUCCUUGACAUCUCAGGAGCACGGUGCUGGACCAGUGCGUCCCCACCAGGGUGGCUCUGUCCUGUGGAGCUCUCUGCGGGGAAGGCGUGGCCUGUCUGGGAGCCAGCCAGGGAGGCCGAUGCUCCUGAGUGAAGAGCUGACUUUGAAGGUGACUAACUGAUUAAUUUCUAUUUAAAUAGCCACACGUGGCUCCGUCUGGUCUGAAAUCGCCAUCUUGGCAGCUUGCAUCUCCUCUCACUGGUUAUCCCGUACUGUGACCUGAUGCUGGAUGUGGAAUCGCAGGGUGUUCUCCUGGGUCAGAGGAAGCCACCUCCUGAGAGAAGCAGAAGUCAUGUAACAGUACCGACGGGGAAUGAGGGGUGGGGGACAUGAGUAUGUCCAGCUGGAAAAGGCAACGCCAGAGAAUCCUGCCCGGCUUUUCCAGGGGCUCAGGGGACCCCUGCCCUGGCCGGCCCUGUCGGGGCUGGGUGCUACCAGAGGGUGGUGCUCCCCUGAGCCCCUUCUGGGCCGGCCGCUUUGGCCUGUAUGGUUUUAAGAGUGGUUGAGAUGCAGACUGAGGUGAUAAGCAACCUCAGGCUUCAUGUCAUUUAACCAGAAAGAGGAAGUUGUCAGGAAGAGGCCUCAGGGAUUAUAUAAUCCCGUCCCCCCAUUUUACGGAGAAGAAAGCUGACGGUGUGCAGCCCAGAAAAAUCUCGACUUGCCGAGGUCAUGAGGUGUUUCAGAGUUAAUUUUGCUAUUGUGUAAAUCAACAUGUAGUAAGCAUCGAACAGUUACCCAUCUAAAAUGUGCCCCUUUCUUGAAACAAAGGCAGAAGUCGUGCCCCCCAGGGGCUCGGGAGCUGGAGAGGCCAGGGCGUCCCCAGUAGCCCUGCGGAGGACUGGAAGGGCUCAGGGGUUUGGGGCUCUUUGGUGCAAGCUUGAUCCGAGGGGGGUUGGCUUCUGUCUGUGCUCGGCCGGAUCCGUCCGUAGAACAACCUAAGACACUCGCUGUCCCCACUGCCCACAUUCGCUCCCACAGAGCCCGGCCGUAGCAGUCCCCAGAGUCUGCCCAGGGCCGGGUAGCACUCUGCAAGCCUCCUCAGCAGCAAGACCUAAACAGGUCCUGUUCUGUUUGCCUUCUUGAAAACCAUACUUCACCCACGUGAAACCAGCUAGCAGCCUUCAAACCAGGAAGGCCUCCAGGUACUUUCUGAGGCUGCUCUGACUCACGUCUUACCUACAUUAUUUACCCCAAUUUAAAAAGUGAAUAAAAUAAAGCCAAGACAUGAGGA